rnacentral:rRNA from 1 species
UCGGGAAUUUUGGGCAAUGGGGGAAACCCUGACCCAGCAACGCCGCGUGAAGGAUGAAGUAUUUCGGUAUGUAAACUUCGAAAGAAUAGGAAGAAUAAAUGACGGUACUAUUUUAUAAGGUCCGGCUAACUACGUGCCAGCAGCCGCGGUAAUACGUAGGGACCAAGCGUUGUUCGGAUUUACUGGGCAUAAAGCGCACGUAGGCGGCUCGUUUAGUCAGACGUGAAAUCCCCCGGCUCAACCGGGGAAUGGCAUCUGAUACUGGCGGGCUCGAGGUCGAUAGGGGUGAGCGGAACUCCAGGUGGAGCGGUGAAAUGCGUAGAUAUCUGGAGGAACACCGGUGGCGAAAGCGGCUCACUAGGCCGACACUGACGCUAAGGUGCGAAAGCUAGGGUAGCAAACGGGAUUAGAUACCCUUGUAGUCCCUGAGCGGGCUGGCAAGGCGCAU